AGAGUUUGAUCCUGGCUCAGAUUGAACGCUGGCGGCAUGCCUUACACAUGCAAGUCGAACGGCAGCACGGGGGCAACCCUGGUGGCGAGUGGCGAACGGGUGAGUAACACAUCGGAACGUACCCAGUUGUGGGGGAUAACCCACCGAAAGGUGGGCUAAUACCGCAUGAUCUGGCGACAGCAAAGCGGGGGACUGGUAACGGCCUCGCGCGAUUGAAGCGGCCGAUGUCCGAUUAGCUAGUUGGUGGGGUAAAGGCCUACCAAGGCGACGAUCGGUAGCUGGUCUGAGAGGAUGAUCAGCCACACUGGGACUGAGACACGGCCCAGACUCCUACGGGAGGCAGCAGUGGGGAAUUUUGGACAAUGGGGGCAACCCUGAUCCAGCCAUGCCGCGUGAGUGAAGAAGGCCUUCGGGUUGUAAAGCUCUUUCGGUGGGAACGAAACGGUGGAUGCUAAUACCAUCCACUACUGACGGUACUCAUAGAAGAAGCACCGGCCAACUACGUGCCAGCAGCCGCGGUAAUACGUAGGGUGCGAGCGUUAAUCGGAAUUACUGGGCGUAAAGCGUGCGCAGGCGGUUAUUUAAGUCAGGUGUGAAAGCCCUGGGCUUAACCUAGGAACAGCGCUUGAGACUGGAUAGCUUGGAGUGCGGCAGAGGGAGGUGGAAUUCCACGUGUAGCAGUGAAAUGCGUAGAUAUGUGGAGGAACACCGAUGGCGGAGGCAGCCUCCUGGGCCAGCACUGACGCUCAUGCACGAAAGCGUGGGGAGCAAACAGGAUUAGAUACCCUGGUAGUCCACGCCCUAAACGAUGUCGACUGGUUGUUGGUGGGGUUAAACCCAUUAGUAACGAAGCUAACGCGUGAAGUCGACCGCCUGGGGAGUACGGCCGCAAGGUUAAAACUCAAAGGAAUUGACGGGGACCCGCACAAGCGGUGGAUGAUGUGGAUUAAUUCGAUGCAACGCGAAGAACCUUACCUACCCUUGACAUGUACGGAAGCCUGCUGAGAGGUGGGUGUGCCCGAAAGGGAGCCGUAACACAGGUGCUGCAUGGCUGUCGUCAGCUCGUGUCGUGAGAUGUUGGGUUAAGUCCCGCAACGAGCGCAACCCUUGUCACUAGUUGCUACGCAAGGGCACUCUAGUGAGACUGCCGGUGACAAACCGGAGGAAGGUGGGAUGACGUCAAGUCCUCAUGGCCCUUAUGGGUAGGGCUUCACACGUCAUACAAUGGCGCAUACAGAGGGCUGCCAACCCGCGAGGGGGAGCCAAUCCCAGAAAGUGCGUCGUAGUCCGGAUUGCAGUCUGCAACUUGACUGCAUGAAGUCGGAGUCGCUAGUAAUCGCGGAUCAGCAAUGUCGCGGUGAAUACGUUCCCGGGUCUUGUACACACCGCCCGUCACACCAUGGGAGUGGGUUUCACCAGAAGCCGGUUGCCUAACCGCAAGGGGGGCGCUGACCACGGUGAGAUUCAUGACUGGGGUGAAGUCGAAACAAGGUA
rnacentral:rRNA from 1 species